rnacentral:pre_miRNA from 1 species
AAACAACAUAAGAAGAAUAAGCUCAGGAGGGAUAGCGCCAUGAUUGUUAUCGAAAGGUUGACAAGUGUUGCUUCAUUCGGCCAUCAUAUUGAACCAGAUUGUAUAGGAGUAUCAA